GGGGGUGUGGCUCAAUGAUAGAGUGCUUGCCUCACACACAUGAGGCACUGGGUUCAAUCCUCAGCAUCGCAU
rfam:Ictidomys tridecemlineatus contig079270, whole genome shotgun sequence.